UACGGAAGGGUGCAAGCGUUACUCGGAAUUACUGGGCGUAAAGCGUGCGUAGGUGGUUUGUUAAGUCUGAUGUGAAAGCCCUGGGCUCAACCUGGGAAUUGCAUUGGAUACUGGCAGGCUAGAGUGCGGUAGAGGGUAGUGGAAUUCCCGGUGUAGGCAGUGAAAUGCGUAGAGAUCGGGAGGAACAUCUGUGGCGGAAGGCGGCUCUCUGGGACGGUACUGACGCUGAGGCGCGAAAGCGUGGG
rnacentral:rRNA from 1 species